GCCUGGCUAGCUCAGUCGGUAGAGCAUGAGACUCUUUGGUCGUGGGUUUAAGCCCCACGCUGGGCG
rnacentral:tRNA from 1 species